UUUGCAAUAGUGCAAUACGGCAGUAGCAUCAGGACAGAGCUUUCCCUUCUAGAAAAUAAGGAUCGUGCCAGAGCCUUGCAAAAGGUCAAGAAAAUACAGCAAAUUUUCAAUCUCACCAACACUGCCUCUGCCAUCCAUCAUGUCCUCACAGAUAUUUUCAUCCCUGAGAAUGGAUCAAAAAACAACUCAAAAAAAAUAAUAAUUGUAUUGUCUGACGGGGAGAUUACGAAAGACCCAAUGCAUCUUACUGAUGUUUUGAACAUGCCACAAAUGAAAGAUGUCAUUCGCUAUUCAAUAGGGGUUGGUGAAGAUUUUCUGUCUAAACCUGAAGCAAUAAAAGAGAUGAAGGACAUAGCAGAUCCUGACAAGUAUUUCAGUGUUUCCAGUUAUGCCGGAUUAAAUGACAUUUUGUCCUCACUGGAACAAAAUUUAAUUUG